CCAGGAUCAUUUCCAGGUUGUCGGAGGCCAUGGCGGAGGUGCGCCAGGGCCCGGAGAGCUGGGGAGUGUAGGACCCCAAAAGCGGUGUCCUCUUGUGACGACCCCAGAAACACAGACUCCAGACCAGACGAUGCAAUAGAGCAGGAGGGAGGUGAAGAAAUGACGCGCAUUAAUGAUACGGCUGAAGAAACAACGCAAAGUAGUGAUGCGAAUUAGUGAUGCGAAGUAAUGAUGUGAAGAAAUGAUAUGAAUUCAUGACGAGAAUUAAUACUGGGAACUAAUGAUGCAAAUUUAUGAUACCUGGGCAGGGUCGAUGUCCGCACAGGCCACGCCCACCGUGAGGGCGAGGAGGAGAGCCUUCGUCACCGUCAUCUUCAUCACCAUCGUCUUCGUAGUCGUCUGAGCCGGCGGGGACCCGGCGUCUAUUUAUUGCCAGGGCUGGGGGAGGAGUUGGCGGGCCGAAGGUUGUGCAAACAUCCUGGUGGACACCAGGGACGUUCCGGAACGGUCAGUGCUCCCAGGGAAUUCUGGGAGAGUCUGUCGUGCGUUCUUGGGCCUUGGAAUUUUCCAGAACCCCUGGUGGGUGUUUCCAGGAUUCCAGAAUGUUCUAGAAUGCCCAGGGAAUGUCCUUGGAAUCGCGAGGAAUUCUGUGGAAUGUUCCAGAAUGUUCCAGAACACGUCCAGAGAGCCCGGCGCACGUCCUCGGGGCCUUAGAGUAUUCUAGAGCGCCUGGUCUUGGAGUGUUCCGGAAUACUGGCGGAUGACGUAGAAUUUUCUAGAAUGUUCGUAGGAUGCCCUGGACCGCUUGGCAGUCAGAUCCAUCGGAAAUGCCUUGAAAACAUGGUCGUGUAUAGACACGUUUGCUUCUUGAAAGGGUUUGCAGCUUCGUCGUCAGUACUGUCUCCUCAGUGACUUUAGAGCAGGAGAGAACAGGACACAGCGGACACUCUGAACAGCAACUUCAGUGAGUGAGUGAUGAAGUGCCCAGACGAGGGAGGCGCAGUGGGUGACACGUCGAUUCAGAAACGAGAGCAACUAGCCUGGGAUUACCAUGAGUGUGUUGGCAGAAGAAUUAAAACUUGAAAUAAGACUCCCGAAACGUACGCGCGGUCUUCAC